GAUGAACGCUGGCGGCGUGCUUAACACAUGCAAGUCGAACGGAAAGGCUCCUGCUUGCAGGGGUACUCGAGUGGCGAACGGGUGAGUAACACGUGGGUGAUCUGCCCUGCACUUCGGGAUAAGCCUGGGAAACUGGGUCUAAUACCGGAUAGGACGAUGGUUUGGAUGCCAUUGUGGAAAGUUGUUCGGUGUGGGAUGAGCUCGCGGCCUAUCAGCUUGUUGGUGGGGUAAUGGCCUACCAAGGCGUCGACGUGUAGCCGGCCUGAGAGGGUGUACGGCCACAUUGGGACUGAGAUACGGCCCAGACUCAUAAGGGAGGCAGCAAUGGGGAAUAUUGCACAAUGGGCGCAAGCCUGAUGCAGCGACGCCGCGUGGGGGAUGACGGCCUUCGGGUUGUAGACUCCUUUCGCUAGGGACGAAGCGCAAGUGACGGUACCUGGAGAAGAAGCACCGGCUAACUACGUG
rnacentral:rRNA from 1 species